UGGGGAAUAUUGUGCAAUGGAGGCAACUCUGACACAGCAACGCCGCGUGAGUGAAGAAGGUUUUCGGAUCGUAAAGCUCUGUCUUUGGGGACGAAAAAGAUGACGGUACCCAAGGAGGAAGCCCCGGCUAACUACGUGCCAGCAGCCGCGGUAAUACGUAGGGGGCAAGCGUUGUCCGGAAUCACUGGGCGUAAAGAGCACGUAGGCGGUUUUUUAAGUCAGAUGUGAAAGUUUGCGGCUCAACCGUAAAAGUGCAUUUGAAACUGAAGGACUUGAGUAUCGGAGAGGUAAGCGGAAUUCCUAGUGUAGCGGUGAAAUGCGUAGAGAUUAGGAAGAACACCGGUGGCGAAGGCGGCUUACUGGACGAAAACUGACGCUGAGGUGCGAAAGCGUGGGGAGCAAACA
rnacentral:rRNA from 1 species